UCUCUGAUAGCUCAGCUGGUAGAGAAUCCGUCUGCAGUGCAGAAGACCCUGGUUCAAUUCCUGGGUCGGGAA
rnacentral:tRNA from 1 species